rnacentral:misc_RNA from 1 species
CAACCCUCAAGCUCUGGCUUGGUGUUGGGCCUGGCCCGUGUGUGGCCGGCUCUAAAGACAGUGGCGGCGCCGCCCGACUCUAAGCGUAGUACAGCUCUCGCUCUAGGGUCCUGCGGUGGCCUGCCAGAACCCCCCACUCCUAAU